rfam:Parcubacteria (Giovannonibacteria) bacterium GW2011_GWA2_44_13b TW30_C0001, whole genome shotgun sequence.
GGUCCUAUCGUCUAGCCUGGUCUAGGACACACGGUUCUCAUCCGUGGAACUCGGGUUCAAAUCCCGAUGGGACCA